rnacentral:pre_miRNA from 1 species
CAAGUACUCCCUUCGUCCGGAAUUACUUGUCAUCAAAAUGGAUGUGUCUAGAACUAAAAUACAUCUAGAUACAUCCGUUUCAAUGACAAGUAUUUCCGACGGAGGGAGUACAAG